UCCAGAACACCACAGGCUCCAGCCUCUGCAAACUUGGUGGGUCCUCGGUCUGCACAUGCCACAGCUCCUGUGAAUAUUGCUGGCUCCAGAACCGCUGCAGCCUUGGCCCCCGCGAGCCUCACCAGUGCUAGGAUGGCUCCAGCAUUGUCUGGUGCAAACCUCACCAGCCCCAGGGUGCCCCUUUCUGCCUACGAGCGUGUCAGUGGCAGAACCUCACCGCCGCUCCUUGACCGAGCUAGGUCCAGAACACCACCGUCUGCCCCAAGCCAGUCUAGGAUGACCUCUGAACGGGCUCCCUCCCCUUCCUCUAGAAUGGGCCAGGCUCCUUCACAGUCUCUUCUCCCUCCAGCACAGGAUCAGCCGAGGUCUCCUGUGCCUUCUGCUUUUUCAGACCAAUCCCGUUGUUUGAUUGCCCAGACCACCCCUGUAGCAGGGUCUCAGUCCCUUUCCUCUGGGGUAGUGGCAACGACCACGUCCUCUGCUGGUGAUCACAAUGGCAUGCUCUCUGUCCCUGCCCCUGGGGUGCCCCACUCUGAUGUGGGGGAGCCACCUGCCUCUACUGGGGCCCAGCAGCCUUCUGCAUUAGCCGCCCUGCAGCCAGCAAAGGAGCGGCGGAGUUCCUCCUCGUCAUCGUCGUCCUCUAGCUCCUCCUCUUCAUCAUCAUCGUCGUCGUCCUCCUCCUCCUCCUCUGGCUCCAGUUCUAGUGACUCAGAGGGCUCUAGCCUUCCUGUGCAACCUGAGGUGGCACUGAAGAGGGUCCCCAGCCCCACCCCAGCCCCAAAGGAGGCUGUUCGAGAGGGACGUCCUCCGGAGCCAACCCCAGCCAAACGGAAGAGGCGCUCUAGCAGUUCCAGUUCCAGCUCCUCCUCUUCAUCUUCCUCUUCCUCUUCCUCCUCCUCUUCUUCCUCCUCCUCUUCCUCUUCUUCCUCUUCCUCCUCAUCUUCCUCCUCCUCCUCGUCUUCCUCCCCUUCCCCUGCUAAGCCUGGCCCUCAGGCCUUGCCCAAACCUGCAAGCCCCAAGAAGCCACCCCCUGGCGAGCGGAGCCACACCCAGCGCCUUGCAGUCUAAGGAGAGCCCAUGCCUUUGGACAUGCUGUUCCUUCUGCCUGGAAUUUCCUUGUCCGCCUGGUGAACUCCUCGUUCUGCAAGACUCCGCUCAAAACAGCACCUUCGAGAAGACUGCCCUGCCCCUUCCCUGCCCUGCCCCAUGUCCCCCUCCCUUGGGUCCCCAGAGCCACGCACAUCCAGCCCUGCUUCCCACACACGGGGCCGUGCGUGCCUUUCUUCACCACUGAGCUCCUUCAAGGGCAGGGACUGUCUUUAUCUUUGCAUCCCCCGCUGCACCCUGUGCCUGCCCACUGGGCACUCGGUGGAUGGUGUGCGGGCGGAUGGGUGAGUGAGCGGACAAAGGUGGGUCUGAGGCUGGCCCUGUGUGGUGUGA
rnacentral:sRNA from 1 species